CUUGUGGGUUGACAAUCCACUCUUAUUAUAGGAACGAACAGAAAUCUUCCACAGCAACUGUCAAGAGUGGAGGCUUGUAUAUAAAUAAAGUGAGAAACUGAGGGUUCUUUAGUAUCCCCUCUAGAACCUCUGAUGUAGUAUCAUUAAAUAAUAAAACCCAGGAAAAAGAACCUGUACAAAAUCAUGCUUUUUCUCUCUGUAUCAUUUUGAUGAGUGUACAACCCGCAUAAUAACUAUCACAAAAUGAAACCUAUCUGGAUUCUAUUUACAGAAUAAAUUACCAAAAUCGAUUUUAAGCUUAGGUAGAAAGAAAAUAAUAAGCACUGAAGUCAAGUAUCAAAUUCUUACAUUAUUGAAUUUUUGCAUUCUUAAAUCUGUACAGGAGAGACUCUAUUGAUUUUUGUAGCCUCGAGCUCUCAACUUGCCUGACAGCCUCAGAUGCCUGGUGUAAACUUUUGAUUC
rnacentral:lncRNA from 1 species